UACGUAGGGGGGCAAGCGUUGUCCGGAUUUAUUGGGCGUAAAGAGCGUGUAGGCGGCCAGGUAGGUCGGUUGUGAAAACUCGAGGCUCACCUCGAGAUGUCGACCGAAACCAUCUGGCUAGAGUCCGGAAGAGGAGAAUGGAAUUCCCGGUGUAGCGGUGAAAUGCGCAGAUAUCGGGAAGAACACCCGUGGCGAAGGCGGUUCUCUGGGACGGUACUGACGCUGAGACGCGAAAGCGUGGGGAGCGAACAGG
rnacentral:rRNA from 1 species